CCCAAAAUUAAAAAAAUAACAUGAUUUGCAAACUAGAAAACAUAAGAAAUGGAAAGAGCAUCCAUUUCUCUGUAAUUCUAUAUCAAAUUUAUUAUUUUCCAAUAAUAAAUAAAAAAGUUAUACAAGUUAUAUCGAAGUAAAGUAGCGCACUCUGAAAUGGCGGAAAAAUUAAUUCCGUCCAAAAGUGGAAAAUGAUUCCGAAGUAAUUCCGGAGUCAAAGAGUUAAGCAACUUAUUUGUCCACAGAAACUGUGCCGACCUGCUUCACCUUUUGUAUCCUGUAUUGCCUUUU